rnacentral:rRNA from 1 species
CACGUAGGGCGCAAGCGUUGUCCGGAAUUAUUGGGCGUAAAGAGCUCGUAGGUGGUUUGUUACGUCUGCUGUGAAAACCUAGGGCUUAACCCUGGGCUUGCAGUGGAUACGGGCAGACUAGAGGUAGGUAGGGGAGAAUGGAAUUCCUGGUGUAGCGGUGAAAUGCGCAGACAUCAGGAGGAACACCGGUGGCGAAGGCGGUUCUCUGGGCCCUACCUGACACUGAGGAGCGAAAGCGUGGGGAGCGAACAGG